CCUGCCCGUAGAGGCAUUACAGAUGUAGCUGCUGCAUCACAUGUGUGUCCUUAGGUGGCAGAGAGAAGAUAGGCUUGUCUACAUCCAGUGCUCUGACUUGGGAGCCACUGGGGGACUCACAGUCUGACACU
ensembl:snoRNA